rnacentral:rRNA from 1 species
UGGGGAAUUUUGCACAAUGGGGGAAACCCUGAUGCAGCGACGCCGCGUGAUUUAGAAGGCCUUCGGGUUGUAAAAAUCUUUUCUAUGGGAAGAAAAUGACAGUACCAUAGGAAUAAGGACCGGCUAAUUACGUGCCAGCAGCCGCGGUAAUACGUAAGGUCCGAGCGUUGUCCGGAAUCAUUGGGCGUAAAGGGUACGUAGGCGGGUAAGCAAGUUUGAAGUGAAAUCCUGUAGCUCAACUACAGUAAGCUUUUAAAACUGCUCAUCUUGAGAUAUGGAAGGGAAAGUGGAAUUCCUAGUGUAGCGGUGAAAUGCGCAGAUAUUAGGAGGAAUACCGGUGGCGAAGGCGACUUUCUGGCCAUAAUCUGACGCUGAGGUACGAAAGCGUGGGUAGCAAACAGG